ensembl:lncRNA
AAUUAAUAUUCUAAUUUUCUGAGAUACUGAAUUUUGGAUUUUCCUUAGUUGUCAGUUAUAAUAAUCAAAAUUAAAAGAAAUAAACAUUUGAAAUAUAUCAGUCUGUGUGUAAUGAAUGAAUAUAAUAUACAAGUUUCACUUUUUGAAUGUAAUUAGUGAAAUAAAUCAACUUUUUGAUGAUAUUCUAAUUAUAUGACCAGCACCUGUAUGUUUUGCUUGUUUGUUUUUUCAGACAUCUGAGCAGCAGGAUGCUGGAGAGGGACUUUCAAAUCAAGAAAGCUCCAGCAGAGCCCAGCUGUUAGUGAUGUUUAAAUACAAAUCAUAUGGACAAGUUAUAGAGGCUUCCAAGUCCCGACGUCACAGACAGACAGUGUUGAUCCCAGCAGCUGGACCAGACAUUUCAAUAAAGGAUCUGAGAGUGAGGGCACGAAUUUGACCCGGCUGUGGGUGCAGUGAAAGAAGAGAAGGAACCAGGUAACGGAUGGGAUUAUAUCAUGUUGAUUAAUGUGAUAAAUGUGGUGUAAUGUGAUUGAUUAUUAAAGUGCCCCUACUAAAUAAAGUUAUUGUCACCCAAAAGAAAGAAUCGACU